ACUGGCUGCUUCCCGCCUCCAUCACGUCUUCAAAAUGGAGCAUUCCUGGUUGUCGAUUAUCCAGAACAAUCACGGAGCGGAGGUCUGGGAGUCUGACGGGAAAACAAACACAAAAAAACUGAAUACUAAGUUAAGACCAGUGAUGGGUGGACACCACGCAGCUGUACCUGGCACUCUUGAUGUCUCCCGGGGUGGACGACUCGAUCUCGGGACAUAUCUGCCUCAGCAUGUUGCAGUAUUUCUGAGUCUUAAACUGCUCAGGGCACACUAUAGCCUUACAUCCAACCUGUGAGAAGAGGAGCAGAGGAUUGAAGAUGUGAUACAGACUCUGUGUUUAACAGUGAAAACGGGGACGUAAAGAAGUCGCUCACCUUCCGCAGGGCGAACUCGGCCUCCUGCAGCUGGUACACUGGAUUCACAGACACCUAUUAGAACAGCGGUAAAACCAUAAAAAGAAACUGAAGGUUGAAAGAGUUGAAAUUGGGCCAAAGCCGAAGCAAAGACAGUGUACAUAAAGAACAAAACUGACCAGACUUUGUCCCUGUGAAUGGCAGUUUGCACCAAUAUAAUAAUGUCGGUGAAAGGUGCCCUCACACUCGUUUGUCCUCCACAUUGGUUACAAAUAUUACGUCUCUUUACUACACUUACCUACUGAACUUUGUCUUCAGGUCUUUUCCUCAAGAUGGAUUUAUUAUAUGGCAUUAUAUUGAUUAAUAUGUUAAAGGAUGAAGCUGUAAAUAUUCUAUAUUUUUGUUUUUGUCAACAAAUCCCAUGAAAAGGGCCAAACCAACAGCGUGUUCAGCCCACUGUUUCCUACUGAAGACGUAAAUUAUAUAUGUAAAAUUAUAAAAUAAACUGUUAAAAUAAACAGUUGGAGACUUUAAUAAAACAGGACAUGGGACUGUAUUCAGCGGCAGAUUAAUCCACAUUCGGUGCUGUAGUGAGUAUUUGGGGCGGCAGGACGGUGUAUGUGUGAUUGAGCCAAAUCAAACUACAGUGUGUGUGUUUAACCUAAUGAACAAACAUGUGCAACAGUGUGACUCACUGGUGUGUUUUAAAAUGUUUCUGGACAACAAUAAAGCUCUAUGGCACAGAGGAGUAAGAUAAAUCAGGCUUUAGGUGCAUAAAACCUUUUAGACAAUACAUUCAUUGCUAGUUGUGUUUUUGUGGUGGGAAAAGUAACAUAAAUAUCACCAAAAUAAAUUAAAAUAUAGAUUUAA